rnacentral:snRNA from 1 species
UCAAAUCCCACCGAAUGCA